CCUACGGGUGGCUGCAGCAAGGAAUCUUCCGCAAUGGGCGCAAGCCUGACGGAGCAACGCCGCGUGCGGGAUGACGCCCUUCGGGGUGUAAACCGCUUUUCUGGGGGAAGAAGGGAGCGCAAGCUCCUUGACGGUACCGCAGGAAGAAGGACCGGCUAACUACGUGCCAGCAGCCGCGGUAAUACGUAGGGUCCGAGCGUUGUCCGGAGUUACUGGGCGUAAAGCGCACGCAGGCGGCGGCGCUGGCCCGGCGUGAAAGCCCCCGGCUCAACCGG
rnacentral:rRNA from 1 species